GUGGGGGUGGUGGAGAAUGAGAAUUUGGAGAGGGUCGACAGGGAAGGGCUCGCCGAGGAAGAGGAGGAUGAGGUGGGGCCAAAGUAAGGAAAGAAAACCAGUUACGUGAAGGUCUGGGGAAGACCGCUCAAGUCUGAGGAAAAGCAAGUGUGCAGGUCCUGAGGGCGAGCUAGAGGAGGUGUGGUGGUAAACAAGGGCAGAAAGGUAGGCCAGGUGCCAACCCCAUGUGGCAUUGUGGGCCAACAAAAAGACUUUCAAUUUUUUACUUUAUUGAUUUUUUGGAGACAGAGUGGAAGUGGGGGCAAAGGGCAGCGGGGGAGAGAGAGAGAGAGAGACAGAGAUUGAGAAUCUUAAGCAGGCUCACUGCUCAGCAAGGAUCCUGAUGAGAGACUCGAUCCUACGACCCUGGGGUCAUGACAGCCAAAAUCAAGAGUCCGACAACUGACUCUUAGCCACCUAGAUGCCCCAAGAUCUUCAAUUUUAACAGGAGUUUAUAAUAGGAAGCUUUUAGUAGAUUUUCAUUGGGGUUAUGUGAUGUGAUUUACAUUUUUAAACACUUUGUUGUGGAAAUGUUCAAACGUACAAAGGUAGAAGGAAUAAUACAACAAACCCCAUAUACUUUUCCCCCAGGUCCAAUAAUUUUCCACUAUAAUUCCAUCCACUUCCCUACCACAUUAAUUUUAAGUAAAUCCAAUAUCCUAUCACCUAUAAAUACUUUUAGGAUGUAUCUUUAAACUCUUUAACAUGAUCCUAAUAUCAUUAUCACACUUGGAAAUAUUAGCACAAAUUUCUUGUCAUCAUUGCAAUUAAUUCAAAUGUUUCUUAAAAAACUAUCUACAGUAGGGGCACCUGGGUGGUUCAGUCAGUUAAGCAUCUGACUUCAACUCAGGUCACGAUAUCGCGGUUGAUGAGUUUGGGCACCACGUCGGGCUCUCCUGUUCCUCAUCGGACUCUUACCCAGUACAUGUAACAUUCAUUGAUGAUUCUUCUCUGAAUACAUUUUUACUCUGGUGAUUGCAAAACUUUUAAAGACACGGUACACAAUCCUUUUAUUUUGUUUUUGUAAAAUUCACUUCGUUGAGGUUACAUUUAAAAUUUGUAGCAAUCCCCAUGUGCUAGAAUCUUCUGAGGCCAAAGUUCAAACAACCUGAUGCAAUUUGAACUUUAAAGUUGAAGGUUCCUUGUGCAAUAUAAGCUAACAAAGAAUUGUAACUUUACAAACAUUUAUGAGUCAGGGUUGGUGAUCAAGCCCAGGUGGGGGACAGUGUGGUGCUCUGAGACAACAUGGGAGCACCACGCCCCUUCCCACAUACCUUGCUCCACACGUCUCUUCCAUCUGGCUGUCCCUGACUCUUAUCUUUUUAUAAUAAACCGGGGAUCUCUUCCAAUUGUGGAGUAGUAAACAUAUACGAUCAAGAUUCUUAUCCCCUAGAAGGAAACCCAAAGCUGAUAAAAGCUGUAAUGAUCUUGGUUUUGGGUGUUACUUCUCUGUCCUUCAGUCCUACUGCAGAAAUCUUAGCAAUUGCUUCAGAAAAAAAAAAGGAAGAAGCAGUCACACUGGGUCACUAUCCUUCCCAUCCUUCCCGUAUGGUAUUUUCUAAUUUCCCAGUUGUUUUUUA